GGGGGUGUAGCACAGCUGGGAGUGCGCACGGUUCGCAUCCGUGAGGUCAGGGGUUCGAUCCCCCUCAUCUCCA
rnacentral:tRNA from 1 species